CCUACGGGUGGCUGCAGUCGAGAAUCAUUCACAAUGGGGGAAACCCUGAUGGUGCGACGCCGCGUGGGGGAAUGAAGGUCUUCGGAUUGUAAACCCCUGUCAUGUGGGAGCAAAUUAAAAAGAUAGUACCACAAGAGGAAGAGACGGCUAACUCUGGGCCAGCAGCCGCGGUAAUACAGAGGUCUCAAGCGUUGUUCGGAAUCACUGGGCGUAAGGCGUGCGUAGGCUGUUUCGUAAGUCGUGUGUGAAAGGCGCGGGCUCAACCCGCGGAAGGCACAUGAUACUGCGAGACUAGAGUAAUGAAGAGGGAACCGGAAUUCUCGGUGUAGCAGUGAAAUGCGUAGAUAUCGAGAGGAACACUCGUGGCGAAGGCGGGUUCCUGGACAUUAACUGACGCUGAGGCACGAAGGCCAGGGGAGCGAAAGGGAUUAGAUACCCUAGUAGUC
rnacentral:rRNA from 1 species